UUAUUUUUUUACUUUAUAUAUAUAUAUACAUAUAUUAUAAUUUAUAAUUUUUUUUUAUUAACACAACCAAAAUUAUUUCAAAAUUUGGAAAAAAAUAAUUAUAUAUUUUAUAAUAAUAUUAAAAUUUUAAGUUAAAAUUAAAAUAUUUAAAAAUAUAAGGUUCCGUUUGAUUCGGAUAUAAGUAAGAACUGUAUAUUUCAGGAAUAGAUAUAAGUUCAGAUAUAAAUAGGAACUAGAUUAAUUUUGCACUUUAAUGAAAAUUGAGUUGUUCUCUGGAAUUAAAAAAAAAAAAAAUUGUUUGGAUAGAUAAGAUGGAAUAAAAAGAAUAGAAGGUAGUUAUAAAUAGAAAAUAAUGAUAUUGCUUCUUAUAUUAUAUUUUAAUUUUAAAUUUUAAAUUUUAUAUCUAAAUUUUUAAAUUUAAAUAUAUAGCUUUUAAAUUUUAAAAAUUCAAAAUUAAAAUUAUAAUUUUUAAAUCUCAAAUUUAAAAAUCCAAAGUUCUAAAUUUU
rnacentral:lncRNA from 1 species